UACGUAGGGCGCGAGCGUUGUCCGGAAUUAUUGGGCGUAAAGAGCUCGUAGGCGGUUUGUCGCGUCUGCUGUGAAAACUCAGGGCUUAACCCUGAGCCUGCAGUGGGUACGGGCAGACUAGAGUGUGGUAGGGGAGAUCGGAAUUCCUGGUGUAGCGGUGGAAUGCGCAGAUAUCAGGAGGAACACCGGUGGCGAAGGCGGAUCUCUGGGCCAUAACUGACGCUGAGGAGCGAAAGCAUGAGGAGCGAACAGG
rnacentral:rRNA from 1 species